UACGAAGGGGGCUAGCGUUGUUCGGAAUUACUGGGCGUAAAGGGCGCGUAGGCGGCUCGGCAAGUUGGAUGUGAAAGCCCAGGGCUCAACCCUGGAAUUGCAUUCAAGACUGCCUUGCUUGAAUUCGGUAGAGGUUGAUGGAAUUCCCCAGUGUAGAGGUGAAAUUCGUAGAGAUUGGGAAGAACACCGGUGGCGAAGGCGGCCAACUGGACCGACAUUGACGCUGAGGCGCGAAAGCGUGGGGAUCAAACAGG
rnacentral:rRNA from 1 species